UUGUUUUGAAUUUGUUGCCUCGUGCCUGCACCGCCAUUGUAAUUUUACUGCGAAAGAUUGGUUUUGACUUUUCAAUAAUUGAAAUCAUUGAAAUUCGCAUGAGCGCCGCUGGAAUUACUAAUAAUAAGGAUAAAUCUUUCUUGUUAAUUAAUUAUCUUCACUAUUUAAAUGAAUUUUGAUUAAUAAAAAGAUAUACAAUGUAGUUCGAUUCGUGCUUGGUUAUUGAUAAAAGUAAUUUUGUUUUAAAUUAAAAAUGAGGCAAUGUGUUAUUCCCAAGUGUAAAACGCGAUCAAAUUACGUGCUGUACCUUUUACUGAUAGUGAUAACACUAGAUGGGAGGCAUGGUUCAUCAAUUGUCCAAUAUUACGGAAAUAUACUCGUAGGCAGUUAGAAAACGUUGAAACUUGUGAAAACCACUUUCUACCCAGAAAAAAGACCUACUUAUUGGUAAUCAACGUGCACAGUGGUCCAUCAUUGAGGAGCUCUAUGCUACAGAUGGUGAAGCCGGACGUGCAAGAACCACAACCCUGACGGAUAAACACAUUAGACCAACUUCUUAUGACAAGAUGAA